rnacentral:rRNA from 1 species
CCUACGGGUGGCAGCAGUGGGGAAUAUUGGACAAUGGGCGAAAGCCUGAUCCAGCCAUGCCGCGUGUGUGAAGAAGGCCUUCGGGUUGUAAAGCACUUUCAGUGGGGAAGAAAGCCUUGGGGCUAAUACCCUCGAGGAAGGACAUCACCCACAGAAGAAGCACCGGCUAACUCCGUGCCAGCAGCCGCGGUAAUACGGGGGGGUGCGAGCGUUAAUCGGAAUUACUGGGCGUAAAGCGCGCGUAGGCGGUCUGAUAAGCCGGUUGUGAAAGCCCCGGGCUCAACCUGGGAACGGCAUCCGGAACUGUCAGGCUAGGGUGCAGGAGAGGAAGGUAGAAUUCCCGGUGUAGCGGUGAAAUGCGUAGAGAUCGGGAGGAAUACCAGUGGCGAAGGCGGCCUUCUGGACUGACACUGACGCUGAGGUGCGAAAGCGUGGGUAGCAAACAGGAUUAGAUACCCCUGAGUC